UGGGGAAUCUUGGACAAUGGGGGCAACCCUGAUCCAGCGACGCCGCGUGGGUGGUAAGGCCUUCGGGUUGUAAAGCCCUUUCAGCGGGGAAGAUGAUGACAUUACCCGCAGAAGAAGCGCCGGCUAACUCCGUGCCAGCAGCCGCGGUAAGACGGAGGGCGCUAGCGUUGUUCGGAAUCACUGGGCGUAAAGGGCGCGUAGGCGGCUGCUUAAGUCGAGGGUGAAAGCCCGGGGCUCAACCUCGGAACGGCCUUCGAGACUGGGCGGCUAGAGACCGGAAGAGGAGGGUGGAAUACCCAGUGUAGAGGUGAAAUGCGUAGAGAUUGGAAAGAACACCAGUGGCGAAGGCGCUCUACUGGACCUGUACUGACACUAAGGGACGAAAGCUAGGGGAGCGAAAGGGAUUAGAUACCCCCGUAGUCC
rnacentral:rRNA from 1 species